UACGUAUGGUGCGAACGUUGUUCGGAAUCACUGGGCAUAAAGAGCACGUAGGCGGUUGAGCAAGUCCAUUGUGAAAUCCCCCGGCUUAACCGGGGAACUGCAGUGGAUACUACUUGACUUGAGUGCAGGAGGGGAGAGUGGAAUUCCAGGUGGAGCGGUGAAAUGCGUAGAUAUCUGGAGGAACGCCGGUGGCGAAAGCGACUCUCUGGUCUGUUACUGACGCUGAGGUGCGAAAGCUAGGGGAGCAAAC
rnacentral:rRNA from 1 species